ACAGCGUGACGCACAUGACUCCAGGUUUCCUACGACAGUCAAGAUCACCAGUCCGGAGCUACCUACACCUCUGAAACCGCUAAAGCCGUGCCCUCAGGGACCUCCUGCAAGGACCAGAUGUCUCCUGUGCCAUCUUCUCCUGAUCACCCUUCCACACUGGACCCAGGCAGAGCGGAAUCCUCAAAGAGGAGCCUGCAGUGUCAUGGGAACAGCUUUUCUCAUCCAUGGCCUUUCUGUUUAGGAAUCACAUUUAGGGUCCCCCUGUGCACACCCAGAUGGGGAAUGACACCAAAAGUCAGCUCCUCCUGGAAAUAUUCAUGCUAAAACCCUGACAAGUUCCAAGGGCCCGAGCCCUUUCUCGCAAGCUUGCUCGGGCCUCCUGCUCUGAUCCUGUAGAUAGUCUGCGGCAGGAACACCCUGGGAGGGUGGAACUGCAGGAACUCUGACUCUCCUGGGGCAGAGGAGGAUGCUGCCCACACCCCUCAGCUCAGCCCCCUCCCUUGCUCUCCUCCUUACCACCCACUAAUCACUAAUUAACACAGCAGCAACAGCUCUUUGCACAGUUACGGAACAGGAAAGCGCUCCUUUCCUUUUCCAGCGCCCGCCUCCUUUCCCGCACUACCUGCGCGUGCAGGGCACAUCCCUUCUCUUUACUAUUUAGCUCCCCUAAC